AGGGGUGGCCAUCGCACUGGACACAGGCUGCUGGUGUAGUCUGACGAGCAGUGACCAGGCUGGUGGAAGGCAGGGGGAGGCCAUUGCGCUGGGCACAGGCUGCUGAUGUUGCCCGGUGAGCAGUGACCAGGCUGGUG